rnacentral:tRNA from 1 species
GGUCCAGUAGCUCAGUUGGAUAGAGCAACAGCCUUCUAAGCUGUGGGUCACAGGUUCGACUCCUGUCUGGAUCACUA